UACGGAGGGAGCUAGCGUUGUUCGGAUAUACUGGGCGUAAAGCGCACGUAGCGGCGCCGUAAGUCAGGGGUGAAAUCCCGAGGCUCAACCUCGGAACUGCCUUCGAUACUGGCGAUCUUCGAGUCCGGGAGAGGUGAGUGGAACUCCGAGUGUAGAGGUGAAAUUCGUAGAUAUCCGGAGGAACACCGGUGGCGAAGGCGGCUUCCUGGACCGACACUGACGCUGAGGCACGAAAGCGUGGGGAGCAAACAGG
rnacentral:rRNA from 1 species